GGUUAAGCGACUAAGCGUACACGGUGGAUGCCCUGGCAGUCAGAGGCGAUGAAGGGCGUGCUAAUCUGCGAUAAGCGCCGGUAAGGUGAUAUGAACCGUUAUAACCGGCGAUACCCGAAUGGGGAAACCCAGUGUGACUCGUCACACUAUCAUUAACUGAAUCCAUAGGUUAAUGAGGCGAACCGGGGGAACUGAAACAUCUAAGUACCCCGAGGAAAAGAAAUCAACCGAGAUUCCCCCAGUAGCGGCGAGCGAACGGGGAGGAGCCCAGAGCCUGAAUCAGCAUGUGUGUUAGUGGAAGCGUCUGGAAAGGCGCGCGAUACAGGGUGACAGCCCCGUACACAAAAGCGCAUGUGCUGUGAGCUCGAUGAGUAGGGCGGGACACGUGGUAUCCUGUCUGAAUAUGGGGGGACCAUCCUCCAAGGCUAAAUACUCCUGACUGACCGAUAGUGAACCAGUACCGUGAGGGAAAGGCGAAAAGAACCCCGGCGAGGGGAGUGAAAAAGAACCUGAAACCGUGUACGUACAAGCAGUGGGAGCCCCACCACUAAGCCAGUGGUGAACUCCACAUACGCAUCCUUUGCUGAGGAUACGGUUAACGGAGCGCAAGCGACGUUCAACCUCAAAAGAAGCAGAGGGGGCUUAGUGGUGGGGUGACUGCGUACCUUUUGUAUAAUGGGUCAGCGACUUAUAUUCUGUAGCAAGGUUAACCGAAUAGGGGAGCCGGAGGGAAACCGAGUCUUAAUUGGGCGUUAAGUUGCAGGGUAUAGACCCGAAACCCGGUGAUCUAGCCAUGGGCAGGUUGAAGGUUGGGUAACACUAACUGGAGGACCGAACCGACUAAUGUUGAAAAAUUAGCGGAUGACCUGUGGCUGGGGGUGAAAGGCCAAUCAAACCGGGAGAUAGCUGGUUCUCCCCGAAAGCUAUUUAGGUAGCGCCUCGUGAACUCAUCUCCGGGGGUAGAGCACUGUUUCGGCUAGGGGGCCAUCCCGGCUUACCAACCCGAUGCAAACUGCGAAUACCGGAGAAUGUUAUCACGGGAGACACACGGCGGGUGCUAACGUCCGUCGUGAAGAGGGAAACAACCCAGACCGCCAGCUAAGGUCCCAAAGUCAUGGUUAAGUGGGAAACGAUGUGGGAAGGCCCAGACAGCCAGGAUGUUGGCUUAGAAGCAGCCAUCAUUUAAAGAAAGCGUAAUAGCUCACUGGUCGAGUCGGCCUGCGCGGAAGAUGUAACGGGGCUAAACCAUGCACCGAAGCUGCGGCAGCGAACGUAUCACUUAAAGCGAUUCAGCGGGUUACGAUUGACGGAGCGAAGCGACGUCAAAGCGUAUACAAAGUCGAGUCGGUUUAAGGAUACGUUCGUUGGGUAGGGGAGCGUUCUGUAAGCCUGUGAAGGUGGCCUGUGAGGGUUGCUGGAGGUAUCAGAAGUGCGAAUGCUGACAUAAGUAACGAUAAAGCGGGUGAAAAGCCCGCUCGCCGGAAGACCAAGGGUUCCUGUCCAACGUUAAUCGGGGCAGGGUGAGUCGACCCCUAAGGCGAGGCCGAAAGGCGUAGUCGAUGGGAAACGGGUUAAUAUUCCCGUACUUGGUGUUACUGCGAAGGGGGGACGGAGAAGGCUAUGUUGGCCGGGCGACGGUUGUCCCGGUUUAAGCGUGUAGGUGUGUGUUCCAGGUAAAUCCGGUUCACUUUAACACUGAGGCGUGACGACGAGGCACUACGGUGCUGAAGCAACAAAUGCCCUGCUUCCAGGAAAAGCCUCUAAGCAUCAGGUAACAUCAAAUCGUACCCCAAACCGACACAGGUGGUCAGGUAGAGAAUACCAAGGCGCUUGAGAGAACUCGGGUGAAGGAACUAGGCAAAAUGGUGCCGUAACUUCGGGAGAAGGCACGCUGACAUGUAGGUGAAGUGAUUUACUCACGGAGCUGAAGUCAGUCGAAGAUACCAGCUGGCUGCAACUGUUUAUUAAAAACACAGCACUGUGCAAACACGAAAGUGGACGUAUACGGUGUGACGCCUGCCCGGUGCCGGAAGGUUAAUUGAUGGGGUCAGCGCAAGCGAAGCUCCUGAUCGAAGCCCCGGUAAACGGCGGCCGUAACUAUAACGGUCCUAAGGUAGCGAAAUUCCUUGUCGGGUAAGUUCCGACCUGCACGAAUGGCGUAAUGAUGGCCAGGCUGUCUCCACCCGAGACUCAGUGAAAUUGAACUCGCUGUGAAGAUGCAGUGUACCCGCGGCAAGACGGAAAGACCCCGUGAACCUUUACUAUAGCUUGACACUGAACAUUGAGCCUUGAUGUGUAGGAUAGGUGGGAGGCUUUGAAGUGUGGACGCCAGUCUGCAUGGAGCCGACCUUGAAAUACCACCCUUUAAUGUUUGAUGUUCUAACGUGGACCCGUAAUCCGGGUUGCGGACAGUGUCUGGUGGGUAGUUUGACUGGGGCGGUCUCCUCCUAAAGAGUAACGGAGGAGCACGAAGGUUGGCUAAUCCUGGUCGGACAUCAGGAGGUUAGUGCAAUGGCAUAAGCCAGCUUGACUGCGAGCGUGACGGCGCGAGCAGGUGCGAAAGCAGGUCAUAGUGAUCCGGUGGUUCUGAAUGGAAGGGCCAUCGCUCAACGGAUAAAAGGUACUCCGGGGAUAACAGGCUGAUACCGCCCAAGAGUUCAUAUCGACGGCGGUGUUUGGCACCUCGAUGUCGGCUCAUCACAUCCUGGGGCUGAAGUAGGUCCCAAGGGUAUGGCUGUUCGCCAUUUAAAGUGGUACGCGAGCUGGGUUUAGAACGUCGUGAGACAGUUCGGUCCCUAUCUGCCGUGGGCGCUGGAGAACUGAGGGGGGCUGCUCCUAGUACGAGAGGACCGGAGUGGACGCAUCACUGGUGUUCGGGUUGUCAUGCCAAUGGCACUGCCCGGUAGCUAAAUGCGGAAGAGAUAAGUGCUGAAAGCAUCUAAGCACGAAACUUGCCCCGAGAUGAGUUCUCCCUGAGACUUUAAGUCUCCUGAAGGAACGUUGAAGACGACGACGUUGAUAGGCCGGGUGUGUAAGCGCAGCGAUGCGUUGAGCUAACCGGUACUAAUGAACCGUGAGGCUUAACCUU
rnacentral:rRNA from 1 species